rnacentral:rRNA from 1 species
AGAGUUUGAUCCUGGCUCAGGAUGAACGCUGGCGGCGUGCUUAACACAUGCAAGUCGAGCGAAGCAGUUAAGAAGAUUCUUCGGAUGAAACUUGAUUGACUGAGCGGCGGACGGGUGAGUAACGCGUGGGUGACCUGCCCCAUACCGGGGGAUAACAGCUGGAAACGGCUGCUAAUACCGCAUAAGCGCACAGAGCUGCAUAGCUCAGUGUGAAAAACUCCGGUGGUAUGGGAUGGGCCCGCGUCUGAUUAGGCAGUUGGCGGGGUAACGGCCCACCAAACCGACGAUCAGUAGCCGGCCUGAGAGGGCGACCGGCCACAUUGGGACUGAGACACGGCCCAAACUCCUACGGGAGGCAGCAGUGGGGAAUAUUGCACAAUGGGGGAAACCCUGAUGCAGCGACGCCGCGUGAGCGAAGAAGUAUUUCGGUAUGUAAAGCUCUAUCAGCAGGGAAGAUAAUGACGGUACCUGACUAAGAAGCCCCGGCUAACUACGUGCCAGCAGCCGCGGUAAUACGUAGGGGGCAAGCGUUAUCCGGAUUUACUGGGUGUAAAGGGAGCGUAGACGGCAAGGCAAGUCUGAUGUGAAAACCCAGGGCUUAACCCUGGGACUGCAUUGGAAACUGUCUGGCUCGAGUGCCGGAGAGGUAAGCGGAAUUCCUAGUGUAGCGGUGAAAUGCGUAGAUAUUAGGAAGAACACCAGUGGCGAAGGCGGCUUACUGGACGGUAACUGACGUUGAGGCUCGAAAGCGUGGGGAGCAAACAGGAUUAGAUACCCUGGUAGUCCACGCCGUAAACGAU